rnacentral:rRNA from 1 species
AGAGUUUGAUCCUGGCUCAGGACGAACGCUGGCGGCGUGCCUAAUACAUGCAAGUCGAGCGAGUCUGCCUUGAAGAUCGGAGUGCUUGCACUCUGUGAAACAAGAUACAGGCUAGCGGCGGACGGGUGAGUAACACGUGGGUAACCUGCCCAAGAGAUCGGGAUAACACCUGGAAACAGAUGCUAAUACCGGAUAACAACAGAUGAUGCCUAUCAACUGUUUAAAAGAUGGUUCUGCUAUCACUCUUGGAUGGACCUGCGGUGCAUUAGCUAGUUGGUAGGGUAACGGCCUACCAAGGCGAUGAUGCAUAGCCGAGUUGAGAGACUGAUCGGCCACAUUGGGACUGAGACACGGCCCAAACUCCUACGGGAGGCAGCAGUAGGGAAUCUUCCACAAUGGACGCAAGUCUGAUGGAGCAACGCCGCGUGAGUGAAGAAGGGUUUCGGCUCGUAAAGCUCUGUUGUUGGUGAAGAAUGACAGGGGUAGUAACUGACCUUUGUUUGACGGUNAUCAAUUAGAAAGUCACGGCUAACUACGUGCCAGCCGCCGCGGUAA